AAAAGUGGAGGAUGUUUGAUAAAGUCUGACAUUUGAAGAGGGGAAGAUGACAACUAUCAUGUCGAUGAGGGGACUGAUACAUUUAACAAGGACAGCACCGCUGAUGAAGGCACCAGUGACUCUGCUGAGUCCUUAGGAUGGGUGUGGCACGCAGCCGUGCAAAGGUUGUCUCCAUGGUGAUAGAUGUGGGGUCAUCUCCAUGACGAUGGAUCGGAGGGGGUGUUGGCCGCCAAGGUCGCGGACCAAGGACAAGGCGAGAGUGAUUGCAGCCACCCAGACAGGAAAUCGAAGAGGAGCACUCCAAGGGGGGGUCGAGGAAAAAGGUGAACAGACGGGGAAAGGAGUACUUGACAUCAAGUGGAAGCCAGACAACGUGAAACCCACUCGUACACACACACAAAUAC